rnacentral:rRNA from 1 species
GACGGAGGGCGCAAGCGUUGUUCGGAAUUACUGGGCGUAAAGCGCGCGCAGGCGGGAAGGUAAGUCUGGAGUGAAAUUCCGGGGCUCAACUCCGGAGCUGCUUUGGAUACUGUCUUUCUAGGGACCGGUAGAGGCCGAUGGAAUUCCCGGUGUAGCGGUGAAAUGCGCAGAUAUCGGGAAGAACACCCGUGGCGAAGGCGGUUCUCUGGGACGGUACUGACGCUGAGACGCGAAAGCGUGGGGAGCGAACAGG